GACGAACGCUGGCGGCGUGCCUAAUACAUGCAAGUUGAGCGAUGAAGAUUGGUGCUUGCACCAAUUUGAAGAGCAGCGAACGGGUGAUUAACGCGUGGGGAAUCUGCCUUUGAGCGGGGGACAACAUUUGGAAACGAAUGCUAAUACCGCAUAAUAACUUUAAACAUAAGUUUUAAGUUUGAAAGAUGCAAUUGCAUCACUCAAAGAUGAUCCCGCGUUGUAUUAGCUAGUUGGUGAGGUAAAGGCUCACCAAGGCGAUGAUACAUAGCCGACCUGAGAGGGUGAUCGGCCACAUUGGGACUGAGACACGGCCCAAACUCCUACGGGAGGCAGCAGUAGGGAAUCUUCGGCAAUGGACGAAAGUCUGACCGAGCAACGCCGCGUGAGUGAAGAAGGGUUUCGGAUCGUAAAACCCUGUUGGUAGAGAAGAACGUUGGUGAGAGUGGAAAGCUCAUCAAGUGACGGUAACUACCCAGAAAGGGACGGCUAACUACGUG
rnacentral:rRNA from 1 species